rnacentral:rRNA from 1 species
UACGUAGGGUGCGAGCGUUGUCCGGAAUUAUUGGGCGUAAAGAGCUCGUAGGCGGCUUGUCGCGUCGGAUGUGAAAGCCCGGGGCUUAACUCCGGGUCUGCAUUCGAUACGGGCAGGCUAGAGUGUGGUAGGGGAGAUCGGAAUUCCUGGUGUAGCGGUGAAAUGCGCAGAUAUCAGGAGGAACACCGGUGGCGAAGGCGGGUCUCUGGGCCGAUACUGACGCUGAGGAGCGAAAGCGUGGGGAGCGAACAGG